AGUCACUGACAUUAGAUACCCGGUAGUCCAGGGUGUAAACGCUGCAGACUUGGUGUUGGAGGCCCUUUGGGGGCAUUCAGUGCCGGAGAGAAGUUGUUAAGUCUGCUACUUGGGAGUACGUCCGCAAGGAUGAAACUUAAAGGAAUUGGCGGGGGAGCACCGCAACGGGAGGAGCGUGCGGUUUAAUUGGAUUCAACACCGUAAACUCACCAGGGAAGACUGUUACAUGAAGGCCGAGAUGAAGACUCUGCUAGAUUUUCAG
rnacentral:rRNA from 1 species